rnacentral:rRNA from 1 species
AUUGAACGCUGGCGGCAUGCCAUACACAUGCAAGUCGAACGGCAGCACGGGAGCAAUCCUGGUGGCGAGUGGCGAACGGGUGAGUAAUAUAUCGGAACGUGCCCAGUCGUGGGGGAUAACGCAGCGAAAGCUGUGCUAAUACCGCAUACGAUCUACGGAUGAAAGCGGGGGAUCGCAAGACCUCGCGCGAUUGGAGCGGCCGAUAUCAGAUUAGCUAGUUGGUGAGGUAAAGGCUCACCAAGGCGACGAUCUGUAGCUGGUCUGAGAGGACGACAAGCCACACUGGAGCUGAGACACGGUCCAGACUCCUACGGGAGGCAGCAGUGGGGAAUUUUGGACAAUGGGCGCAAGCCUGAUCCAGCAAUGCCGCGUGCAGGAUGAAGGCCUUCGGGUUGUAAACUGCUUUUGUACGGAACGAAACGGCGAGCUCUAAUACAGUUUGCUAAUGACGGUACCGUAAGAAUAAGCACCGGCUAACUACGUGCCAGCCGCCGCCGCAACAC